AACGAACGCUGGCGGCAUGCCUAACACAUGCAAGUCGAACGAGACCUUCGGGUCUAGUGGCGCACGGGUGCGUAACGCGUGGGAACCUGCCUUUAGGUUCGGAAUAACUCAGAGAAAUUUGAGCUAAUACCGGAUGAUGUCUUCGGACCAAAGAUUUAUCGCCUUUAGAUGGGCCCGCGUUGGAUUAGCUAGUUGGUGGGGUAAAGGCCUACCAAGGCGACGAUCCAUAGCUGGUCUGAGAGGAUGAUCAGCCACACUGGGACUGAGACACGGCCCAGACUACUACGGGAGGCAGCAGUGGGGAAUAUUGGACAAUGGGCGAAAGCCUGAUCCAGCAAUGCCGCGUGAGUGAUGAAGGCCUUAGGGUUGUAAAGCUCUUUUACCCGAGAUGAUAAUGACAGUAUCGGGAGAAUAAGCUCCGGCUAACUCCGUG
rnacentral:rRNA from 1 species